AGCCAACAUGAUGAGAUUGAGGCGAAGUUUUUUGAAGAAUGGGCUGCCCUUGAAGCCAAGUACCAGAAGUUGUAUGAACCAUUGUAUGCUAAGAGGUAUGACAUUCUAAAUGGAGUUGUGGAGGUUGAUGGUGUUGCUAAAGAACCUACCAGUGAAAAUGCUGCUGUUAUGACCGGCCCUAAAGGAGUCCCAGAUUUUUGGCUCACUGCUUUGAAAACAAAUGACGUGUUGACCGAGGAGAUCCAAGAGCGUGAUGAGCCUGUUUUGAAAUAUCUAAAGGAUAUCAAGUGGUCUAGAAUUGAUGACCCCAAGGGUUUCAAGCUUGAGUUUUUCUUUGAUACAAACCCUUUCUUCAAGAACUCUGUACUAACAAAAUCCCAUCAUAUGGUUGAUGAGGAUGACCCAAUUUUGGAGAAAGCAAUCGGGACUGAAAUUGAGUGGUAUCCUGGGAAAAAUGUGACACAGAAGAUUCUAAAGAAGAAACCCAAGAAAGGUUCAAAGAACACCAAGCCUAUUACUAAAACUGAAGAGUGCGAGAGCUUUUUCAACUUUUUCUGCCCCCCACAAGUACCUGAUGAUGAUGACAUUGAUGAAGAAGCCGUAUGUUCCAGAUUUAUUGUUUGA
rnacentral:rRNA from 1 species